rnacentral:tRNA from 1 species
CCACUCUUGGCUCAGUUGGCAGAGCGCUCCACUUAUCUUCUUCGAGGGUUCAUGGAAGUCAGUCGUUCAAAUCGGCUAGCGGGAA